rnacentral:rRNA from 2 species
GACGAACCGUGCGAACGUUAUUCGGAAUCACUGGGCUUAAAGCGCGUGUAGGCGGAUGGGCGCAUCGAUCGCUGAAAUCCCCCGGCUCAACCGGGGAACUGGCGUCGAGAUGGCCCGUCUCGAGGGGGGUAGGGGGACCUGGAACUUCCGGUGGAGCGGUGAAAUGCGUUGAGAUCGGAAGGAACGCCCGUGGCGAAAGCGAGGUCCUGGACCCUUUCUGACGCUGAGACGCGAAAGCCAGGGGAGCAAACGGG